UGAGUUGCGAACGGGUGAGUAACGCGUAGGUAACCUGCCUGGUAGCGGGGGAUAACUAUUGGAAACGACUGCUAAUACCGCAUAAGCCCACGACCCGGCAUCGGGAAGAGGGAAAAGGAGCAAUCCGCUUUGAGAUGGCCUCGCGUCCGAUUAGCUAGUUGGUGAGGUAACGGCCCACCAAGGCAACGAUCGGUAGCCGGACUGAGAGGUUGAACGGCCACAUUGGGACUGAGACACGGCCCAG
rnacentral:rRNA from 1 species